UCAUAUCUUUUCAUUCAUAGAGUAACUACUAAAUCUGUCUUGUGGUUAGUAGUUUCUUUUCUAUUGGUUUAAUUUGCAGCAUUUAGUUAUUUACUUUGCAAAGAAUAAAUUUGAAGCCAAAAAUUUUUCAGCUUUAGGUAGUGAUAUCAGAAUAAUGGAUCGAGAAGAAGAGAAUAAGUUUGACCAGGAACAUGCAUACAAGCAAGCGUUGACAUUUUGUGUUGUCAAAAUUUGGCCAAAAGAUUCAGAUAUGGAUAGCAAUGCUAUUCAAGUAUUAAGGUUGUUUGAGAGAAAGGAUGAACAAAUUUUUCGGAUAUCUGAAAAGAUCAGAGACAAAGUGUUUGGUUUGGAAAAGUUGGUUCAAAGGAUGAAUAAUCUGAAAACAUAUUACUUGAACAGUAUUAAUGGAAGUAUUGAAGAGAAAAAGAAGAUCUUGACUCAACUGUAUCAAGCACUAGAUCUGCUGUCAUUUGAAAUAAAACGCAGAGGGAAAGAACUUGUAUGUCUUCCUAAUUAAAAGUACCUUACAAUAUUAAAAGAACUCAUUUGAUACUUUAUCAUCUUCUUGCUACAAGAUAGAAUGUCAAUGAUAUAUAUAUUUGUGAAUUGUGAUGACUUUAGUUGACAUUGAAGAUGCUACACACAAGCAAAAAAUUGGCUCAAGAAAAUUCAGUCCUAAGAAAGAUAAAUAUGAAUCAGCAGCAGCUGAGAGAAUCAGAUACUACUACUUCAACUUCACAUUUGACAGAACUUAGAAAAAUUUUAUUUCAGAUACGAUGAACAUAUCGCUACAGCUACUAUCCUUACAAUCAGAAUUAUGACACACUACUUCAACAGUUGAAAAAAGUGGAAAAGGAUAUCACAUGUGACUUAAGAGAAUGUUUGAAAAACCAAGUCAAGUUUAUAUGUGAUGAGUUAAUGGAGAUGAGGAAGAAAAAGCGUGCACUAGAAACCAAAAUCAAACAUGCCGAGAGAGAAAUAGAGUGGAUCAAUGAAGAGAUAUGGUCUUUCCAAAUACACUUGAAAGACAAUCACUGCAGAAAGGAAGCAUCGCUUUGCAUUCUUACGAAGUGGAAAGGUGAUAGACAUUCAGAUUCUAAGUGGGAUGUCAGAUGUGGCAACCUGGAAUAUAAUUCUGUGGACAGUAGCAGAACAUGGAUUUCCAAGUGUCCGAUUGGAUUGCUUGUUAGUACUUCUUAAAAAAUAAAAGUACUUUUAUUGAAUUCUAAAUAUGUUUAGAUUCAUUUUUUAAAAGACAAUAAUAUUUUGUUUUUUAAAAAGUAAAAACAAAAAUUUCUGCAAAUUAAAAUGUCUUAAAUCUUUGAAUUUGAUUUGUAAGGUUAAUCAAAAGUCCAUCUUAUAAUAUUUGUGUCAAGGGAUAACGUUAGUUAGGUAAUUUGGCUUUGUAUAAAGUCUGUCAGUUAGUCAAAAAUAAUCUUAGUUGUAUAUGCUCACUUGCUAUAUACGAGUGGUUGUCUUAGUUUGCAAGUAACAAUGAUCAAUUCAAUAAUAACAUAGCAAUUCAGUUUUUUUAUUCUCUCUCAACUCUUUCAGACUCCUUUUUGUUCUGUUGCUCACUUAUCACCAUAAAAAUCUCUUUAUCUGAUUUAUUAAACAAAAAAUCUUUCUCACCUGAAUGAGGAUAAUUCC